rnacentral:rRNA from 1 species
GAUCAUGCUCAGGACGAACGCUGGCGGCGUGCUUAACACAUGCAAGUCGAACGGAGCACCCUUGAAAGAGACUUCGGUUGAUUGAUAGGAAUGCUUAGUGGCGGACUGGUGCGUAACACGUGAGUAACCUGCCCCGAAGAGUGGAACAACACAGCGAAAGUUGUGCUAAUACCGCAUAACAUGGUUGUACCGCAUGGUGCUGACCAUCAAAGAUUUAUCGCUUUGGGAUGG